rnacentral:rRNA from 1 species
GAUUGGUUUAGGGUUAACGUACCCGUAACGACGCGACCAACCUUCGUUCCUUUACGUUACCAGCACGUUAGUGGUGGGCACUCUAAGGAGACUGCCGGUGACAAACCGGAGGAAGGUGGGGAUGACGUCAAGUCAUCAUGGCCCUUACGGCCUGGGCUACACACGUGCUACAAUGGUCGGUACAAAGGGUUGCCAAGCCGCGAGGUGGAGCUAAUCCCAUAAAACCGAUCGUAGUCCGGAUCGCAGUCUGCAACUCGACUGCGUGAAGUCGGAAUCGCUAGUAAUCGUGAAUCAGAAUGUCACGGUGAAUACGUUCCCGGGCCUU